CAAUAGCGUAUAUUAAAGUUGUUGCGGUUAAAAAGCUCGUAGUUGGAUUUCUGUUGGGAACGACCGGUCCGCCCAUUGGGUGUGUAUCUGGCUUGUUCUCGGCAUCUUCUUGGUGAACGUUGCUGCACUUGACUGUGUGGAGCGCUACCCAGGACUUUUACUUUGAGGAAAUUAGAGUGUUUCAAGCAGGCAUAUGCCUUGAAUACAUUAGCAUGGAAUAAUAAGAUAGGACCUCGGUUCUAUUUUGUUGGUUUCUAGAGCUGAGGUAAUGAUUAAUAGGGAUAGUUGGGGGCAUUCGUAUUUAACUGUCAGAGGUGAAAUUCUUGGAUUUGUUAAAGACGUACUACUGCGAAAGCAUUUGCCAAGGAUGUUUUCAUUGA
rnacentral:rRNA from 1 species